UUUUAAUACUUUAAAUUGAAAAUAUGGAUGUUAAUCAAAUUGAAUUUUAUUUUUUCCGUUUUUAAAUCAUUUUUGUUUGAGGUCACUUAUUUUAUUUUAUUUUUUUCUGUCGUUCAAGGACGGAGUUUUGUGUCUUACAAUCGAAAUUAUCAGGAAUAGAAUCGAAGAGUGAUGGAUAUAAUUUUUUUUUCUAGUUUUGUGUAACUGCAGGCAUUGAUGCUGUGACAACUGAUUCGGUCACAUGACAAAUGAUUUGAAUGGAACAAAUUACCGUCUUUCAGUCGACAUGGAAAGCUUCCCCACAAAUUAUAUAUAUACAGUAUAUGUAUGUGUGUUUCCCCCUUUUCUCGACGGUAGUAAUUUUUCAAUGUUUUUUCAAUGAAGGAUCGAUUAAUAUAAUAAAAAAGAAAAAAAAAAAAAAAAAACGGUUUCGCCGCUCUUUAAUCGAAAAAGCGGCCAUUUUUAAGAAAACGGAACGCAGUCAAUGGCUAUAAAAAAAUGGGUCGUACGGUUACGAAAGUUGUUUAAAAUGUUGACUCGGAAGCAAAACUAUCAACUGGAUAUCAUUAUAAAUUUAAUCGUGUAAUAUAAGUGGGCGAGUGAUUGCAUUAAUAGAUUGUUUACCUUGUUGCCAGACAGGUUCCAGAUGACACCCACGCUCUAAUUACGUGUACAGGAACUAGCAUUCCACCCUUAUUUCAAAAUAUGCAUGUUAAAUUGUAGUUACAGAAUAAAAUACGUGUGAAAACCUAACUGAUUAUUCGAUUAUCUGCCCUGAUGAGGAUCACAGGUUUAGAAAAAUCGAAAAAAAUCGAUUUUCUGUAUACGAAUUAUCUAGAGUGACAGUGAACACGAGUGUUCGUAUUGAAGCAUGGGUAUUUUUUAAAGAAAACGCGAAUGUUCAGAAAAUCGAUUUGUUCCGAUAAUCGAAAUAUUUCGUAAUUUUUUUAGUGCUGAACAAGAAAAAAAAAGAAAUUAUUUUAUAUUAUAUUUGGUCGCGUUGCGUAUGACGAAUAUCUCUAGUCUGGUAGCUAACGCUAGUCGCGAGGGGAAUGGAUCAUACAUUGACAUCAUCAGAAAAUUGAUUCUGUCGUUAUUGGUUUAAUCAGCAUGAUGGAUGUUCCAAAACAGAUAGGACCCUACAAUGAUCUCCUAUACCAUCGGAGGUAAUUCGGUCGAUCCGUAGGAGAAUUUCUUAAUAAGAAAGAAGUGAAAAUCACAUUAUGAAAGGGUAACCCGAUUUAGUUUCUUCUUCUUCUUUCCGCAACGCGUCGCGCCGGCGCAACAAGACGCGACGACAGCUAUCAUGCUAGAAAAUCACUAUAAACUGUUUAUCUUAUUAUAUAUAUAUUACCCACACGUGUAUACAUAAGCAUUUACAUUUUACUUAAAGACUGAUGAACUGUGUUUGUUUAAUUUUGGAUAAAUGACCAUUUGAUCGAACGCUAUUCAGAUAUGCCACGUCAUAAUAAUUUAAUUGUCGCGCAUUAAAGAAAAAUGAUCACACGCGAUAAAAAUCCAAAUGAGCGUCUAAUACGGUUAAUAGAAGACUCUCUAUAUCAUAAAUUUUAUUGUUUUUUGAUAUAAGUUUAAUAAAAAUAACCGCGAGUAUAAAAAUCCAAAAUAUAUAACCCAUUUUCAGACUAAUAAAUAAACAGUAAAACUCAAUAUAAAUCAAUAAUUCUGUUAUAACAUUAAAUAUACUGUGUUCUAAGCGUGGCCGAC
rnacentral:lncRNA from 1 species